rnacentral:rRNA from 1 species
GACGAACGCUGGCGGCGUGCUUAACACAUGCAAGUCGAACGAAGAGCGAUGGAAGCUUGCUUCUAUCAAUCUUAGUGGCGAACGGGUGAGUAACGCGUAAUCAACCUGCCCUUCAGAGGGGGACAACAGUUGGAAACGACUGCUAAUACCGCAUAAGAUCUGACCUCGGCAUCGAGGAUGGAUGAAAGGUGGCCUCUAUUUAUAAGCUAUCACUGAAGGAGGGGAUUGCGUCUGAUUAGCUAGUUGGAGGGGUAACGGCCCACCAAGGCGAUGAUCAGUAGCCGGUCUGAGAGGAUGAACGGCCACAUUGGGACUGAGACACGGCCCAGACUCCUACGGGAGGCAGCAGUGGGGAAUCUUCCGCAAUGGACGAAAGUCUGACGGAGCAACGCCGCGUGAGUGAUGACGGCCUUCGGGUUGUAAAGCUCUGUUAAUCGGGACGAAAGGCCUUCUUGCGAAUAGUUAGAAG